rnacentral:rRNA from 1 species
AGUGAACGCUGGCGGUAGGCCUAACACAUGCAAGUCGAACGGCAGCACAGUAAGAGCUUGCUCUUACGGGUGGCGAGUGGCGGACGGGUGAGGAAUACAUCGGAAUCUACUUUUUCGUGGGGGAUAACGUAGGGAAACUUACGCUAAUACCGCAUACGACCUACGGGUGAAAGCAGGGGAUCUUCGUACCUUGCGCGAUUGAAUGAGCCGAUGUCGGAUUAGCUAGUUGGCGGGGUAAAGGCCCACCAAGGCGACGAUCCGUAGAUGGUCUGAGAGGAUGAUCAGCCAAACUGGAACUGAGACACGGUCCAGACUCCUACGGGAGGCAGCAGUGGGGAAUAUUGGACAAUGGGGGCAAGCAUGAUCCAGCCAUACCGCGUGGGUGAAGAAGGCCUUCGGGUUGUAAAGCCCUUUUGUUGGGAAAGAAAAGCAGCAGGUUAAUACCCCGCUGUUCUGACGGUACCCAAAGAAUAAGCACCGGCUAACUUCGUG